rnacentral:rRNA from 1 species
UACGAAGGGGGCUAGCGUUGUUCGGAAUCACUGGGCGUAAAGGGUGCGUAGGCGGGUCUUUAAGUCAGGGGUGAAAUCCUGGAGCUCAACUCCAGAACUGCCUUUGAUACUGAAGAUCUUGAGUGCGGGAGAGGUGAGUGGAACUGCGAGUGUAGAGGUGAAAUUCGUAGAUAUUCGCAAGAACACCAGUGGCGAAGGCGGCUCACUGGCCCGAUACUGACGCUGAGGCACGAAAGCGUGGGGAGCAAACAGG